rnacentral:rRNA from 1 species
ACAACACCUAGGAGGAUCCUGAGUACGGCGGAACACGAGAAAUUCCGUCGGAAUCCGCGGGGACCAUCCCGCAAGGCUAAAUACUCCCUAGUGACCGAUAGUGAACCAGUACCGUGAGGGAAAGGUGAAAAGCACCCCGGAAGGGGAGUGAAAUAGAUCCUGAAACCGUGUGCCUACAACAAGUCAAAGCUCGUUAAUGAGUGAUGGCGUGCCUUUUGUAGAAUGAACCGGCGAGUUACGAUUGCAUGCGAGGUUAAGUCGAAGAGACGGAGCCGCAGCGAAAGCGAGUCUGAAUAGGGCGAAUGAGUAUGUAGUCGUAGACCCGAAACCAUGUGAUCUACCCAUGUCCAGGUUGAAGGUGCGGUAAAACGCACUGGAGGACCGAACCCACGUACGUUGAAAAGUGCGGGGAUGAGGUGUGGGUAGCGGAGAAAUUCCAAACGAACUUGGAGAUAGCUGGUUCUCUCCGAAAUAGCUUUAGGGCUAGCCUCGGAAUUGAGAAUGAUGGAGGUAGAGCACUGUUUGGACUAGGGGCCCAUCUCGGGUUACCGAAUUCAGAUAAACUCCGAAUGCCAUUCAUUUAUAUCCGGGAGUCAGACUGCGAGUGAUAAGAUCCGUAGUCGAAAGGGAAACAGCCCAGACCACCAGCUAAGGUCCCAAAAUAUAUGUUAAGUGGAAAAGGAUGUGGGGUUGCACAGACAACUAGGAUGUUGGCUUAGAAGCAGCCACCAUUUAAAGAGUGCGUAAUAGCUCACUAGUCGAGUGACCCUGCGCCGAAAAUGUACCGGGGCUAAACAUAUUACCGAAGCUGUGGACUACACCAUUAGGUGUAGUGGUAGGAGAGCGUUCUAAGGGCGUUGAAGGUCGAUCGUGAGGACGGCUGGAGCGCUUAGAAGUGAGAAUGCCGGUAUGAGUAGCGAA